GAUCAUGGCUCAGGAUGAACGCUAGCUACAGGCUUAACACAUGCAAGUCGCGGGGCAGCAUGAAGUUUGCUGCAAACUUGAUGGCGACCGGCGCACGGGUGAGUAACGCGUAUCCAACCUUCCCCUUAGUAGGGCAUAGCCCGGCGAAAGUCGGAUUAAUACCCUAUGUUCUUCGUCGAGGACAUCUGAAAUGAAGCAAAGGUUUACCGCUAAGGGAUGGGGAUGCGUCUGAUUAGGUAGUCGGCGGGGUAACGGCCCACCGAGCCUUCGAUCAGUAGGGGUUCUGAGAGGAAGGUCCCCCACACUGGUACUGAGACACGGACCAGACUCCUACGGGAGGCAGCAGUGAGGAAUAUUGGUCAAUGGGCGGGAGCCUGAACCAGCCAAGUAGCGUGCCAGGAAGACUGCCCUAUGGGUUGUAAACUGCUUUUAUGCGGGGAUAAAGUGAGGGCCGUGUCCCUUUUUGCAGGUACCGCAUGAAUAAGGACCGGCUAAUUCCGUGCCAGCAGCUGC
rnacentral:rRNA from 1 species